GCCGGGGUUCCCGAGCGGUCAAAGGGGUAGGACUUAAGAUCCUAUGGCUUAGUGCCUUCGUAGGUUCGAUCCCUACCCCCGGCA
rnacentral:tRNA from 1 species